rnacentral:rRNA from 1 species
AUUGAACGCUGGCGGAAUGCUUUACACAUGCAAGUCGAACGGUAGAGGGGGCAACCCCUUGAGAGUGGCGAACGGGUGAGUAAUAUAUCGGAACGUGCCCAGUCGUGGGGAUAACGUAGCGAAAGUUACGCUAAUACCGCAUACGAUCUAAGGAUGAAAGCGGGGGGAUCGCAAGACCUCGCGCGAUUGGAGCGGCCGAUAUCAGAUUAGGUAGUUGGUGAGGUAAAGGCUCACCAAGCCAACGAUCUGUAGCUGGUCUGAGAGGACGACCAGCCACACUGGAACUGAGACACGGUCCAGACUCCUACGGGAGGCAGCAGUGGGGAAUUUUGGACAAUGGACGCAAGUCUGAUCCAGCCAUUCCGCGUGCAGGAUGAAGGCCCUCGGGUUGUAAACUGCUUUUGUACGGAACGAAAGGUUUCUAUUAAUACUAGGAGCUCAUGACGGUACCGUAAGAAUAAGCACCGGCUAACUACGUGCCAGCAGCCG